AUUCCAGCUCCAAUAGCGUAUAUUUAAGUUGCUGCAGUUAAAAAGCUCGUAGUUGGAUUUCGGAUGGGAUUUGCCGGUCCGCCGUUCCGGUGUGCACUGGCCAGUCUCAUCUUGUUGUUGGGGACUAGCUCCUGGGCUUCACUGUCCGGGACUAGGAGCUGACGAGGUUACUUUGAGUAAAUUAGAGUGUUCAAAGCAAGCCUACGCUCUGAAUACAUUAGCAUGGAAUAACAUGAUAGGACUCUGGCUUAUCUUGUUGGUCUGUGAGACCAGAGUAAUGAUUAAGAGGGACCGUCGGGGACAUUCGUAUUUCAUUGUCAGAGGUGAAAUUCUUGGAUUUAUGAAAGACGAACUUCUGCGAAAGCAUUUGUCAAGGAUGUUUUCAUCG
rnacentral:rRNA from 1 species